rnacentral:rRNA from 1 species
UACGUAGGGCGCAAGCGUUGUCCGGAAUUAUUGGGCGUAAAGAGCUCGUAGGCGGUCUGUCGCGUCUGCCGUGAAAACCCGAGGCUUAACCUCGUGGCUUGCGGUGGAUACGGGCAGACUAGAGGUGGGUAGGGGAGAAUGGAAUUCCCGGUGUAGCGGUGAAAUGCGCAGAUAUCAGGAGGAACACCGGUGGCGAAGGCGGGUCUCUGGGCAGUAACUGACGCUGAGGAGCGAAAGCGUGGGGAGCGAACAGG